rnacentral:lncRNA from 1 species
ACCUAAUAAGUCCAUAGUCAUCCAAGAGCCUAAGAUAACUAUAAAGUCCAAUUUCAAAGGAAUGCAAAAACCGUAGUAGUAGUAGUUACUUCCAAUAUUUGAAAAAUUUGUUUUUGAUAUUGAUUUGUUUUUCUUAAAACAAAUAGUGGGAGUAUCAUACACUACUAGACUAUAAUGAAUACAAUUAGUAGUUAUAUAUAUAUCUCCAAUAUUUUGAAAAAUGUUUUGAUAUUGAUUUGUUUUAUGAAAACGAAUAGUGGGGAUAUUAUAUGCUACUAAUUUCAUUAACUUUGGACUAGUAGUUAUAAUAGGACAAUUUAUUUGAUUGUGAUUAAAUAAAUAAAAAUGAUGAGACCUUAAAUCCCUCAACCUAACAAUAUUAAGUUGUAAGCGUAAGAGUGCUUAGAACACUUUUUCGUGGCCUUCCACCGUGGUAGGCUCCAAGCGUUUAUGACUUGUACACCGCCUUCACCCUAUCAUGGGGAAGUGACAAAGUGCAUGCUUAUAUUCAGGAGGAGUUUAUUUAAAAUAUUUGAUGAGGUUAAGGUAGGCAACGAGUAUGACCAACAUCGUAUCAUUGUGAGGUCAUGCUUGAACCCCUAGCAAAACCGGCAUGGUGGGAAAGAACUUAACUAAGAAACAUAAUGCCAACAUCGUAUCAUCGUGAGGUAUU